GCGUUGGUGGUUUAGUGGUAAAAUCCGUCGUUGCCAUCCGGAUUCAUUCGGGACGAUUCGACGGGCCCCGGGUUCGAUUCCCGGCCGACGCA
rnacentral:tRNA from 1 species